UACGUAGGGGGCAAGCGUUGUCCGGAAUUAUUGGGCGUAAAGAGCGUGUAGGCGGUCCGGUAAGUCAGCUGUGAAAGUCAAGGGCUCAACCCUUGAAUGCCGGUUGAUACUGUCGGGCUAGAGUCCGGAAGAGGCGAGUGGAAUUCCCGGUGUAGCGGUGAAAUGCGCAGAUAUCGGGAGGAACACCGGUGGCGAAGGCGGCAUCCUGGACCAAUUCUGACACUGAGGAGCGAAAGCCAGGGGAGCAAACGGG
rnacentral:rRNA from 1 species